CGGACGGGUGNGUAAUGUCUGGGAAACUGCCUGAUGAGGGGGAUAACUACUGGAAACGGUAGCUAAUACCGCAUAACGUCGCAAGACCAAANAGGGGGACCUUCGGGCCUCUUGCCAUCAGAUGUGCCCAGAUGGGAUUAGCUAGUAGGUGGGGUAACGGCUCACCUAGGUGACGAUCCCUAGCUGGUCUGAGAGGAUGACCAGCCACACUGGAACUGAGACACGGUCCAGACUCCUACGGGAGGCAGCAUG
rnacentral:rRNA from 1 species